rnacentral:rRNA from 1 species
UGGGGAAUAUUGGACAAUGGGGGGAACCCUGAUCCAGCCAUGCCGCGUGUGUGAAGAAGGCCUUAUGGUUGUAAAGCACUUUAAGCGAGGAGGAGGGUACUGGUAUUAAUACUACCAGGUACUGGACGUUACUCGCAGAAUAAGCACCGCCUAACUCUGUGCCAGCAGCCGCGGUAAUACAGAGGGUGCAAGCGUUAAUCGGAAUUACUGGGCGUAAGGCGCGCGUAGGUGGUUCGUUAAGUUGAAUGUGAAAGCCCCGGGCUCAACCUGGGAACUGCAUCCAAAACUGGCGAGCUAGAGUAGGGCAGAGGGUGGUGGAAUUUCCUGUGUAGCGGUGAAAUGCGUAGACAUAGGAAGGAACACCAGUGGCGAAGGCGACCACCUGGGCUCAUACUGACACUGAGGUGCGAAAGCGUGGGGAGCAAACAGG